UUACGAUAUUGCCCCUUCAUUUUCAACCCGCAGUACAGUUUUUCCUCGGUUCACUCUUAACUUCAAUUCUCUGUUGCAAUGCUUAAGCUACUCCCAUGGCGUUCCUCACCUCACAAAACCCUAACCCUAGACCCGGCCAAACCCUUUAUCUCCCUCUCUCGCUUUCUCAGCCAUUCUCUCUCCGAAGACCAAUACGAAGACGACGACCCUCCUUUCUCUCCAGUUUCCAAACCUCCGAAGCCCAAGAAGAACAAGACACAGAAUAAAGAUCCAGAUACGAAGAAUGAACCGACCCGGCCUCUCAAGUCGGACCUACCCUUCGACUUCAGCUACUCGUACUCAGAAACAAACCCGAAGGUCGAACCUAUUGCGUUCCGGGAGUCGCCCAAGUUCUCUCCUUUUGGGCCAGGUCGGCUUGAUAGGAAAUGGACCGGCACUGUUGCCCUGACCCAACAAGAAGUGGACUUGAACCGGGUCGUGGAGGAGAGGAAACGGGUUCUUGGAGACCCACUAACGGAGGAGGAAGUGGCUAAGCUGGUGGAACGGUACCGUCAUAGUGAUUGUGCUCGGCAAAUCAACAUGGGAAAGGGAGGAGUUACUCAUAACAUGUUAGAUGAUAUCCACAACCAUUGGAAGCGGGCAGAAGCUGUGAGGAUCAAGUGUUUGGGAGUGCCAACUCUUGACAUGGACAAUGUUUGCUUCCACCUUGAGGACAAAUCUGGUGGGAAGAUUGUCUACCAGCACAUUAAUGUCCUUAUUUUAUACCGGGGUCGAAACUAUGAUCCGAAGAAUCGACCUGUAAUACCUGUAAUGCUCUGGAAACCGUACACUCCGAUAUAUCCCAAGCUUGUGAAGAAUGUUGCUGAUGGCUUGACAUUUGAAGAAACGAAGGAAUUAAGAAACAGAGGACUAAAUUCCCCACCUGUUAUGAAACUUACUAGAAAUGGUGUGUAUGUGAAUGUUGUGGAUAGAGUCAGGGAGGCUUUCAAGACUGAGGAGGUAGUGAGACUAGACUGCACGCAUGUUGGUACCAGUGAUUGCAAAAGGAUAGGCGUGAAAUUAAGGGAUCUGGUACCUUGCAUCCCCCUUUUGUUCAAGGAUGAGCAGAUUGUACUCUGGAGGGGAAAGAGAGAUCAAGAAGCAGACUCCAAGUGCAGGGAUAGAAGUGAAAAGUUUGCAGAUGCUUAAGUGUGGUCAGGUCAUUUUGGUAGAAGCAGACAGAACUUUUAGGCAUUCAAGAGUUACAUACAAGACAAUGAGAGAUCAAGAGUUUUUACAUCUUGUUAAAGUACAGCUAUGAGGAGCUGCAACAAAUUUCGGGUGGCCUCAAAAACUUCUUCAAGUGAUGGUACCAUAUUACUCAAAGAAAAAUAAAAUAAAGCCAAAGGAAUUGAUAGUUGGAUGAUGGUUUGGUGGAUAAUAUAGGAACAUUGUAACUUGGAGGAGAAAUUGCGGUGGAAAAAGUAACAGUAGUUGGAAAUCAAAUGUUUUCUUUGGCACACAACAUUGGAAGGUCUGGUGCUCACCAAUUCAGGUCAUAGUCUUACUGCCAAUGGUUUAAUUAGUCUUCUCCAACACCCAGCAAGUUACAAAAAAGGAACUCUAUCGAAGAUGAUCGGGUGCGCAUAGAUAUGUGGUAGGAAUGAUACCAUGUUACGUUCUCUGCAUGUGUUGCCAGUAGACUGAAGAAGUUGGUAAAAUCAAAUGAGGCAGUGCCAUUUCAUAUCUAACAGAUCUCAUGAGGACGUUCUUAAUGUACAAGCCCAUUAUGCUGCAUUAAAAUGAGAAGAAUUUCAGAAGGCACUUGGGAGACCAAAAUUUCCCACCUUUUGGUUCUUGUUAGUAUUCAAGUUUCAAUUGUAAUCUCUUUGCGCAUGCGUGUGACACCUUUGUAAUCGAAUGUGAAUGUAUUCUUUUUUGAAUAAACUCAAAAAUGAUUGCUUUUGUGAAUUUUGCUUUUUUAAGGUAGUUUUGAA